rnacentral:rRNA from 1 species
AUUGAACGCUGGCGGCAUGCCUUACACAUGCAAGUCGAACGGCAGCACGGGAGCAAUCCUGGUGGCGAGUGGCGAACGGGUGAGUAAUAUACCGGAACGUGCCCAGUCGUGGGGGAUAACGCAGCGAAAGCAGUGCUAAUACAGCCUACGAUCUACGGAUGAAAGCGGGGGAUCGCAAGACCUCGCGCGAUUGGAGCGGCCGGUAUCGGAUUAGCUAGUUGGUGAGGUAAAGGCUCACCAAGGCGACGAUCUGUAGCUGGUCUGAGAGGACGACCAGCCACACUGGAACUGAGACACGGUCCAGACUCCUACGGGAGGCAGCAGUGGGGAAUUUUGGACAAUGGGCGCAAGCCUGAUCCAGCAAUGCCGCGUGCAGGAUGAAGGCCUUCGGGUUGUAAACUGCUUUUGUACGGAACGAAACGGCGAGCUUUAAUACAGUUUGCUAAUGACGGUACCGUAAGAAUAAGCACCGGCUAACUACGUGCCAGCCGCCGCCGUAACAC